ensembl:lncRNA
AUGCUAGAGGCAAAUUCUUCUAUUCCCUUUACUGACAGAACAAACAAUGACAAGGUGGCAAGAGCUCACUCAUGUGCCAUAUCUCUUAACAUAAUCUCAGGCUUGAUGGGUUCUGGAAACCUUGCCCUGCUCCCUUCUAGAGCCCUGAGGGAUCCCACAGGUCACUGCCAGUGGGAGGAAGGUGAAUUUAGGUGUCAAUCUCUUCCCAUGUGCAAUACCAGUGUCUCCUUCCCUGUGUGCUGUGCAGCCACAGAGAAGAGCAGAGAGGAAGGGGCCAGGCCCAGAGCUGUGCCCCAGGGCUGUGCCUUGUGUGGCUCCUUUGUCAGCCCCAGGGAGCCUGAGGAUCUCCUACAGUGCCACGGGAGCUCUUCUGUCCUGCCUUUCUUUGCAGCCAAGCUUCUCGGUGAAGGUGAUCUGGCUUCUCAACCCACAUCCAGGACUGAGGCUCUAGGAGAUGGCGAGGGUGUGUCUGCAGGGAGGACUUUCCAGGCUCCUGGGCUGGAUGCUGCACGCAAGCCCAGCUCCCCUCACAGGGGUGAGUAUUGUGUCCCUCCUGACUCCGCAGGCUGAGCAUUGGCAUUCUGGGAUCCAUUCCUGCAAAACUGAACUAUUUUGCUCUAAGGUCCUCCAAGAGGAAAGAACAAAGCUACAGGAGUUGUGAAACCCCAUGAGCCAUCCAAACCCAUGAGGCAAAUGCUGAAGAAAAUUCUGCAGGGAGGACAAUGUGGGUCCACAUCCCUUAGCCUUCUCCUGAGACUCAUCAGCCAGGGGCUUUCUCUGCACCUCUGGACAUGCAGUGCCCAACACAGCAGGAAGGGAUCCAUGUCAGCCUCACUGCCCCGCUGCUGCUUUCAUGGCCUGCAGGGCUGUUUCCCAGCCUGGCCUGGCUGCAGCUUCUCCCCACCCUCUGCAGGAAAGCAUCUGGCAUCAGCUGACAGGGUUCCCAAACUGCAGCAUAGGCCAUGCCCACACUGAGGUCUUGUAGGAUUCCCCGGUCUCUGGGUAGAUCAAAAAUGGCAGCUGUUUGGAGAAGGGAGGGCUCUGGCCAAUCCCAAAAGUUUAUAUGAUAUCCUGGUCCUUAACCAAGUCUUUGACAAGCAUUGCCUCCUGAAGAUGCCACCUCCCCCAGUGGGGAAUGCUGCCAUCUGAUCCAGCUGCCCCUUUCUGCAGAAGUGGACAGAGAGGCUGUGCUGAAGGCAGCGUUUCCAGGAGGAAGCAGUGGCUCAUGGGCAGUGUCUGCUGCAGGAAGGGAGGCCGUGCCAGGCAUAGUCCCAGGAGAUAAUUGCUGUGCCUCUGGGCCUGAGCCCUGCUGAGGCUUGAGCUGCCAUUUCUGCUGCUGAGGAGUGCCUGCCUUUCAGGGAUGUUGCACAGGGCAUGGAAAGAGUGACCAGGAGCCAGCCCAGAGCUCCCCAGGCCCCUCUACAGCUUUUUCCAUGUCCACUGACAUCUGGCUCCCAUUGUCUUACCCAACCCCCUUGCAGUGCCCAGUUCCCUAAGGCCAAAAGUGAUCCCAGCACACCCUGAAAAAGGUUCUCAUCUGUGCUCCUUUCCAGAUGAGGUUCCUAGGAAA